rnacentral:rRNA from 1 species
AUUGAACGCUGGCGGCAGGCUUAACACAUGCAAGUCGAGCGGGGGAAGGUAGCUUGCUCCCGGACCUAGCGGCGGACGGGUGAGUAAUGCUUAGGAAUCUGCCUAUUAGUGGGGGACAACAUCUCGAAAGGGAUGCUAAUACCGCAUACGUCCUACGGGAGAAAGCAGGGGAUCUUCGGACCUUGCGCUAAUAGAUGAGCCUAAGUCGGAUUAGCUAGUUGGUGGGGUAAAGGCCUACCAAGGCGACGAUCUGUAGCGGGUCUGAGAGGAUGAUCCGCCACACUGGGACUGAGACACGGCCCAGACUCCUACGGGAGGCAGCAGUGGGGAAUAUUGGACAAUGGGGGGAACCCUGAUCCAGCCAUGCCGCGUGUGUGAAGAAGGCCUUAUGGUUGUAAAGCACUUUAAGCGAGGAGGAGGCUACUUUAGUUAAUACCGAGAGAUAGUGGACGUUACUCGCAGAAUAAGCACCGGCUAACUCUGUG